rnacentral:rRNA from 1 species
AAUAGAUACCCAGGUAGUCCACGCCGUAAACGAUGGAUACUAGCUGUUUGAGCGCAAGUUUGAGUGGCUAAGCGAAAGUGAUAAGUAUCCCACCUGGGGAGUACGGGCGCAAGCCUGAAACUCAAAAGAAUUGACGGGGGCCCGCACAAGCGGUGGAGCAUGUGGUUUAAUUCGAUGAUACGCGAGGAACCUUACCAGGGCUUAAAUGUAGAUUGACGUAUUUGGAAACAGAUAUUUCUUCGGACAAUUUACAAGGUGCUGCAUGGUUGUCGUCAGCUCGUGCCGUGAGGUGUCAGGUUAAGUCCUAUAACGAGCGCAACCCCUGUUGUUAGUUGCCAGCGAGUAAUGUCGGGAACUCUAGCAAGACUGCCAGUGUAAACUGUGAGGAAGGUGGGGAUGACGUCAAAUCAUCACGGCCCUUACGUCCUGGGCCACACACGUGCUACAAUGGCCGGUACAGAGAGCAGCCACUUAGCGAUAAGGAGCGAAUCUAUAAAGCCGGUCACAGUUCGGAUCGGAGU